rnacentral:misc_RNA from 1 species
CUCUUUACUUCCUAGAACUAAAGGUGGGCCUGUAAUUCCCACCAAACUUCCUCCCAGACAAGCAAGGCUUGUUGUUUACAAUAAAAAGUCAAAUGAAACAAGCAUAUGGAUUGUUGAGCUAUCACAAGUGCAUGCUGCAACUCGAGGUGGCCACCACAGAGGCAAAGUCAUUUCAUCCAAAGUUGUUCCAAACGUUCAGCCUCCUAUGGAUGCUAUGGAAUAUGCUGAAUGUGAAGCUGUAGUGAAAGCAUUCCCUCCAUUCCAGGAGGCAAUGAAAAAGAGGGGUAUUGAGGAUAUGGAUCUUGUAAUGGUGGACCCCUGGUGUGUUGGAUAUCACAGUGAAGCUGAUGCUCCUAGCCGCAGGCUUGCUAAACCUCUUAUCUUCUGCAGAACCGAGAGUGACUGUCCAAUUGAAAAUGGUUAUGCUCGUCCAGUUGAAGGAAUCCACGUUCUUGUUGAUAUGCAAAACAUGGUAGUGAUUGAAUUUGAUGACCGUAAACUUGUUCCCCUACCACCAGCUGAUCCCUUAAGAAAUUAUACUCCUGGUGAAUCUCGAGGAGGUGUUGAUAGAAGUGAUGUGAAACCUCUACAGAUCAUUCAGCCUGAAGGCCCAAGCUUUCGUGUUAAUGGACACUUUGUUCAGUGGCAGAAGUGGAAUUUUCGUAUUGGUUUCACGCCCAGAGAGGGUUUAGUUAUCUAUUCUGUUGCAUAUGUUGAUGGUAGUCGAGGUCGGAGACCUGUGGCCCACAGGUUAAGUUUUGUUGAGAUGGUGGUUCCCUAUGGAGAUCCAAAUGAUCCGCAUUAUAGGAAAAAUGCAUUUGAUGCAGGGGAAGACGGCUUGGGUAAAAAUUCACAUUCUCUUAAGAAGAAUUGUGAUUGUUUGGGCUUCAUCAAGUACUUUGAUGCACACUUCACAAAUUUCACUGGAGGUGUUGAAACAAUUGAGAACUGUGUUUGUUUGCAUGAAGAGGAUCAUGGUAUCUUAUGGAAGCAUCAGGAUUGGAGAACAGGAUUACCAGAAGUCCGACGUUCUAGAAGGCUGUCAGUUUCUUUUAUAUGCACUGUGGCUAAUUAUGAGUAUGGAUUUUUCUGGCAUUUUUAUCAGGAUGGGAAAAUUGAAGCUGAGGUUAAACUCACUGGAAUUCUUAGCUUAGGAGCACUGCAACCUGGGGAAAUACGGAAAUAUGGUACAACAAUUGCUCCUGGAUUAUAUGCACCUGUCCAUCAACACUUUUUUGUGGCACGUAUGGAUAUGGCAGUUGAUUGUAAGCCUGGCGAAACAUUCAAUCAGGUUGUUGAGGUGAAUGUAAAAGUUGAAGAGCCAGGAAAGGAUAAUGUGCAUAAUAAUGCAUUCUAUGCUGAAGAGGAACUGCUCAGAUCUGAAUUGCAAGCAAUGCGUGAUUGCAAUCCAUUAACUGCUCGCCAUUGGAUUAUCAGGAACACAAGAACUGUCAACCGGACUGGGCAGCUUACAGGUUACAAGUUAGUACCUGGUUCAAAUUGUUUACCACUGGCUGGUUC